rnacentral:sRNA from 1 species
UAUUCUGCCCUACGGGGAAGGAUGAGAAGCUUCGACUAAGGUUCGACUCGAGCGUCAGCGAGAGAACGUUGCCGCAGGCAACGGCCCGAAGGGCGAGGCGCUUUAGCGCCGAGUA